GUGGGGAAUUUUGGACAAUGGGCGCAAGCCUGAUCCAGCGACGCCGCGUGGAGGACGAAGGCCUUCGGGUUGUAAACUCCUUUUGGAGGGGAAGAAUAAAUUGACGGUACCCUCAGAAAAAGCCACGGCUAACUACGUGCCAGCAGCCGCGGUAAUACGUAGGUGGCGAGCGUUACUCGGAAUUACUAGGCGUAAAGCGUAUGUAGGUGGUUAGAUAAGUCUAUGGUGAAAGUUCCUGGCUUAACUGGGAAGGGACAUAGAUACUAUCUGGCUUGAGUGUGGGAGGGGGAGACGGAAUUCCGGGUGUAGCGGUGAAAUGCGUAGAUAUCAGGAGGAACACCGAUGGCGAAAGCAGUCUCCUGGCCCAAUACUGACACUGAGGUACGAAAGCUAGGGUAGCAAACAGGAUUAGAAACCCUGGUAGUCC
rnacentral:rRNA from 1 species